UCCCUUCUAGCUCAGUCAGUAGAGCAUGAGACUCUUAAUCUUGGGGUUGUAGGUUCGAGCCCCGCCUUGGACGAAA